rnacentral:tRNA from 1 species
AUUAUUAUAGUCUAAAAAAGAAUAUGGGUUUGUGGAGCCCAAGGUGUCAUAAUUUGACUAAUAAUC